AUUGAACGCUGGCGGCAGGCUUAACACAUGCAAGUCGAGCGGAGUGAUGGUGCUUGCACUAUCACUUAGCGGCGGACGGGUGAGUAAUGCUUAGGUAUCUGCCUAUUAGUGGGGGACAACAUCUCGAAAGGGAUGCUAGUACCGCAUACGUCCUACGGGAGAAAGCAGGGGAUCACUUGUGACCUUGCGCUAAUAGAUGGGCCUAAGUCGGAUUAGCUAGUUGGUGGGGUAAAGGCCUACCAAGGCGACGAUCUGUAGCGGGUCUGAGAGGGUGAUCCGCCACACUGGGACUGAGAAACGGCCCAGACUCCUACGGGAGGCAGCAGUGGGGAAUAUUGGACAAUGGGGGGAACCCUGAUCCAGCCAUGCCGCGUGUGUGAAGAAGGCCUUAUGGUUGUAAAGCACUUUAAGCGAGGAGGAGGCUCUUUUGGUUAAUACCCAAGAUGAGUGGACGUUACUCGCAGAAUAAGCACCGGCUAACUCUGUGCCAGCCGCCGCAGUAA
rnacentral:rRNA from 1 species